UUUUUUUUUUUAAGAAUUCAUACAUGAAUGUUUAUGUCGGCAUUAAAAUGAAAUAAUGAUAACUGCCUGGUUAAUAUCACACAUAGGUGCUUUCAUUAUGAACUUCCUCCUGUAGCUCCCUCAUCGUUUCCUCCUGCUGCAGAAGACCUCCACACUGAUGCUACGCCUGGAAGAGUCUGCUUCAACUUCCUUUUUGCCUUAUUUUCCUGCGUACAUACCGACUUUCACUGCCUCACUGCUACGUAUCUUAAGUAUGUGUUGUUCAAUUUAAGUGCAAUUCAUACCAAACAUCAUUAAUUCUUCCAACAAAGGUUAAGAGUUUUCUUCUCCCUCCUUUGGACUUGACAUUCCACUAAAACAACAGAGGAAUCCACAGGAAAAAGCAUAGCAAGGAGCGUGAUAUUGGAUUUUCCUGUCAGCACUGCCCUGGUGGAUUGAGUCUGAGGCAGAAAUAUGAAUUACCAACUGG